rnacentral:rRNA from 1 species
UACGUAGGGGGCAAGCGUUGUCCGGAAUUAUUGGGCGUAAAGAGCGCGUAGGCGGUCCGAUAAGUCGGCUGUGAAAGUCAAGGGCUCAACCCUUGAAAGCCGGCCGAUACUGUCGGACUAGAGUCCGGAAGAGGCGAGUGGAAUUUCCGGUGUAGCGGUGAAAUGCGUAGAUAUCGGAAGGAACAUCAGUGGCGAAAGCGGUCUUCUGGGGCACUCUUGACGCUGAGGCGCGAAAGCUGGGGGAGCGAACGGG